AUGCGCUUCGCCUCGCUGGUGCUCGUCCCUGGCUCUGCUCGCUCGCUCUGUGCGUCUGGUGCUCGCUCGCUCUGUGCGUCUGGCUCGCUCGCUCGCUCUGUGCGUUGGAGCGCUCGCUCGCUUGUGCGUCUGGCUCGACUCGCUCCGACUCUGUGCGUCUGCUCGCUCGCUCUCUGGUCUCUGGCGUCUGGCUCGCUCGCUCGCUCUGUGCGUCUGGUCGCUCGCUCGCUCUGUGCUCUUGGCUCGUCGCUCGCUCUGUGCGUCUGGCUCGCUCGCUCGCUCUGUGUCGUGUGGUUCGCUCGCUCCUCUGUGCGUGUGUGUCGCUCGCUCGGCUCUGUGCGUGUGUGUCCUCGCUCGCUCUGUGCGUGUGUGUGUCUCUCGCUCGCUCUGUGCGUGUGUGUCUGGCUCGCCUCUCGCUCCUGGCGUGUGUGUGUGGCUCGCCUCUCGCUCUGUGCGUGUGUGUCGCUCGCCUCUCGCUCUGUGCGGUGUGUCUGGCUCGCUCGCUCCUCUGUGUGUCUUGGCUCGCUCGCUCGCUCUGUGUGUCUCGCUCUGUCGUCUGUCUCUCUCGCUCUGUGUCUGUCUGGUCUUCUCUCGCUCUGUGGUGUGUGUCUGUCUGUCUCUCUCGCUCUUGUUGUCUGUCGGUCGUCUCUCUCGCUCUGUUGUGGUCUGUCUGUCUCUCUCGCUCUGUGUGUGUGUGUCUUGUCUCGCGCUCUGUGUGUGUGUCUCGCUCUCUCUGUGUGUGUGUGUGUGUUGUCUCGUCCUCUGUGUGUGUGUGUGUGUGUGUGUCUCCUCUCUCUGUGUGUGUGUGUGUGUGUCUCCUCUCUCUGUGUGUGUGGUGUGGUGUCUCUGCUCUCUGUGUGUGUGUGUGUGUGUGUGUGUCUCGCUCCUCUGUGUGUGUGUGUGUGUGUGUCUCGCUCUCUCUGUGUGUGUGUGUGUGUCUCGCUCUCUCUGUGUUGUGUGUGUGGUUGUUGGGGUGUGGUCUCGCUCUCUGUGUGUGUGUGUGUGGUCUCGCUCAUCUCUGUGUGUGUGUGUGUGUGUGUGUGUCUCGCUCUCUCUGUGUGUGUGUGUGUGCGCCCUCUGUGUGUGUUGUGUGGUCUAUCGCUCUCUCUGUGUGUGUGUGUGUGUGUCUCGCCUCUCUGUGUGUUGUGUGUGUUCUGUCUCGGUCUCCUGGUGUGUGUGUGCGUGUGUGUGUCUCGCUCUGGUGCGUGUGUGUCUCGCUCUGUGUGCGUGUGUGUCUCGCUCUGUGUGCUGUGUGUGUCUCGCUCUGUGUGCGUGUGUGUGGCUCGCUCUGUGUGUGUGUUGCUCUGUUGUUGCUCGUUGUGUGUGGCUCGCUCUGUGUGUUGGCUCGCUCUGUGUGUGUGUGUGUGUGGCUCGCUCUGUGUGUGUGUGUUGGCUCGCUCUGUGUGUGUGUUGUGGUCGCUCUGUGUGUCUGUGUGGUGGCUCGCUCUGUGUGUGUGUGGCCGCUCUGUGUGUGUGUGUGUUGUGUGUGCUCUCUCUGUGUGCGUGUGUCUGGCUCGCUCGCUCUGUGUCUGGCUCGCUCGCUCUGUGUCUGGCUCGCUCCUCUGUGUCUGGCUCGCUCGCUCUGUGUCCUGGCUCGCUCGCCUCUGUGUCUGGCUCGCUCGCUCUGUGUCUGGUCGCUCGCUGUGUCUGGCUCGUUCGCUCUGUGUCUGGCUCGCUCGCUCUGUGUCUGGCUCGCCGCUCUGUGUCUGGCUCGCUCGCUCUGGUCUGGCUCGCUCGCUCUGUGUCUGGCUCGCUCGCCUGUGUCUGGCUCGCUCGCUCUGUGUCUGGCUCGCCGCUCUGUGUCUGGCUCGCUCGCUCUGUGUGUCUGGCUCGCUCGCUCUGUGUCUGGGCUCGCUCGCUCUGUGUCUGGCUCGCUCGCUUCUGUGUCUGGCUCGCGUCGCUCUGGUGUCUGGCUCGCUCGCUCUGGUCUGGCUCGCUCUGUUCUGGCUCGCUCGCUCUGUCUGGCUCGCUCGCUCUGUCUGGCUCGCUCGCUCUGUGUCUGGGCUCGCUCGCUCGCUCUGCUGUCUGGCUCGCUCGCUCGCUCUGUGUCUGGCUCGCCGCUCGCUCUGUGUCUGGCUCGCUCGCUCUGUGUCUGGCUCGCUCGGCUCGCUCUGUGUCUGGCUCGCUCGCUCGCUCUGUGUCUGGCUCGCUCGCUCGCUCUGUGUCUGGCCGCUCGCUCGCUCUGUGUCUGGCCGCUCGCUCGCUCUGUGUCUGUGGCUCGCUCGCUCGCUCGCUCUGUGUCUGGCUCGCUCGCUCGUCGCUCUGUGUCUGGCUCGCUCGCUCUGUGUCUGGCUCGCUCGCUCUGUGUCUGGCUCGCUCUGUGUGUGUGUCUGGCUCGCUCUGUGUGUGUGUCUGGCUCGCUCUGUGUGUGUGUCUGGUCGCUCUGUGUGUGUGUCUGGCUCGCGCUGUGUGGUGUCUGGCUCGCUCGCUCUCGCUGUUGUGUUGCUCGCUCUCUCGCUCUCGCUCGUUCUCGCUCUCUCUCUCUCGCUCUGUGUGUCUCGCUCUCUCUCUCUCGCUCUGUGUGUGUGUCUCGCUCUCUCUCUCUCGCUGUGUGUGUCUCGCUCUCGCUCUCUCGCUCUGUGUGUGUGUCUCGCUCUCUCUCUCUCGCUCUGUGUGUGUCUCGCUCUCGCUCUCUCGCCUGUGUGUGUCUGGCUCUCUCUCUGUGUGUGUCUGGCUCUCUCGCUCUGUGUGUGGUCUCGCGCCUCGCUCUGUGUGUCUGGCUCUCUCGCUCUGUGUGUGUCUGGCUCUCUCGCUCUGUGUGUGUCUGGCUCUCUCGCUCUGUGUGUGUCUGGCUCUCUCGCUCUGUGUGUGUCGGCCUCUCGCUCUGUGUGUGUCUGGCUCUCUCGCUCUGUGUGUGUCUGGCUCUCUCGCUCUGUGUGUGUUCUGGCUCGCUCUGUGGUUGCUCUCUCGCUCUGUGUGUCUGGCUCUCUCGCUCUGUGUGUGUCUGGCCUCUCGCUCUGGUGUGUGCUGGCUCUCUCGCUCUGUGUGUCUGGCUCGCAUCGCUCUGUGUGUGUCUGGCUCUCUCGCUCUGUGUGUGGCUGGCUCUCGCUGUGUGGUCUGGCUCUCUCGCUCUGUGUGUGUCUGGCUCUCUCGCUCUGUGUGUGUCUGCUCUCUCGCUCUGUGUGUGUCUGGCUUCUCGCUCUGUGUGUGUCUGGCUCUCUCGCUCUGUGUGUGUCUGGCUCUCUCGCUCUGUGUGUGUCUGGCUCUCUCGCUCUGUGGUGUCUGGCUCUCUGCCUGUGUGGUCUCCGCUCGUUGGUUGUCUGGCUCGCUCGCUCUGUGUGUCUGGCUCGCUCGCUCUGUGUGUGUCUGGCUCGCUCGCUCUGUGUGUGUCUGGCUCGCUCGCUCGCUCUGUGUGUGUCUGGCUCGUCGCUCGCUCUGUGUGUGUGUCUGGCUCGCUCUGUGUGUGUGUCUGGCUCGCUCUGUGUGUGUGUCUGCUCAGCUCCUGGUGUGUGUGUCUGGCUCGCUCUGGUGCGUCUCGCGUCUCUCGGUCUGUGUGUGUCUAUCUCUCUCGCUCUGUGCGUGUGUCUAUCUCUCUCGCUCUGUGCGUGUGGUCUCGCUCUCUCGCUCUGUGCGUGUGUCUCGCGUCUCUCGCUCUGUGCGUGUGUCUCGCUCCUCUCGCUCUGUGCGUGUGUCUCGUCUCUCGCUCUGUGCGUGUUGUCUCGCUCCUCGCUCUGUGCGUGUGUCUCGCUUCUCUCGCUCUGUGUGCGUGUGUCUCGCUCUCUCGCUCUGUGCGUGUGUCUCGCUCUCUCGCUCUGGGUUCGUGUGUUCUCGCACGUCUCCUCGCUCUGUGGUGUGUCUCACUCUCGCUCCUCUCGCUCUGUGGUGUGUCUCACUCUCGCUCUCUCGCUCUGUGCGUGUGUCUCGCUCUCUCGCUCUGUGUGUGUCUAUCUCUCUCGCUCUGUGUGUGUCUAUCUCUCUCGCUCUGUGCGUGUGUCUAUCUCUCUCGCUGUGUGCGUCUGUGUGUGUCUUUCACUCUGUGUCUGUCUGUCUUUCAGGUCCAGAGUAAUGAGGAUGAGGCUUUACCUGGGACACACAGCACCUCUAGAGCUGGCAGUGGUGAGUCUGGCCUGCAUAUUAUAUACCUUAUUACACAGUAUAGAGGCUCAUACAUGCUUAUAA
rnacentral:lncRNA from 1 species